rnacentral:rRNA from 1 species
CGGGGUGAGUAAUGUCUGGGAAACUGCCUGAUGGAGGGGGAUAACUACUGGAAACGGUAGCUAAUACCGCAUAACGUCGCAAGACCAAAGAGGGGGACCUUAGGGCCUCUUGCCAUCGGAUGUGCCCAGAUGGGAUUAGCUAGUAGGUGGGGUAAUGGCUCACCUAGGCGACGAUCCCUAGCUGGUCUGAGAGGAUGAUCAGCCACACUGGGACUGAGACACGGCCCAG